UUAAGCACAUUCAAACCAGGUCUCGCAGGGGACCGAUCGGACGCACUAAGAACAGAGCCAGAGACGCGCGCGGUAAAGGACUUCAAAUUCGCCGGUCAGUACCAAUCCAAAUUGAAGGCGAUCGUGGUGCAGCAAGCAAAACAGAACAAUGGCGGGGACUGAGCGCGGUGAGGAAACUGUAAUGUUGGGCAGGACGCCAUCUGGCGGACACAAUGACGAUGUGCAGCGAAUGUGACAAGGUACAUUAAUGAGACUCUCAGGCUGUACCACUGACAUUGGAGAGUCUACAAGUAGAUACAGACGUUACAAUGGAAUGGUAGUAUAACGUUACACUAUUGCUAUUGCUGGUGUCGUAACCCAAAUAUAACAUAUACACUGUAUAAUCUAGGAGACUGAAACAAACAUAAAGUACAGUUUAAGAAAGCAUAAUGUAUAAUCUGCCUGACAGUACAUAUCAACAGUAUAUUAGCCCCCACCAGGCCUUCCUACGG